rnacentral:rRNA from 1 species
UCUUCCGCAAUGGACGAAAGUCUGACGGAGCAACGCCGCGUGAGUGAUGAAGGUUUUCGGAUCGUAAAGCUCUGUUGUUAGGGAAGAACAAGUGCCGUUCAAAUAGGGCGGCACCUUGACGGUACCUAAUCAGAAAGACACGGCUGACUACGUGCCCGCUGCCGCGGUCAUACGUAGGUGGCAAGCGUUGUCCGGAAUUAUUGGGCGUAAAGGGCUCGCAGGCGGUUUCUUAAGUCUGAUGUGAAAGCCCCCGGCUCAACCGGGGAGGGUCGUUGGAAACUGGGGAACUUGAGUGCAGAAGAGGAGAGUGGAAUUCCACGUGUAGCGGUGAAAUGCGUAGAGAUGUGGAGGAACACCAGUGGCGAAGGCGACUCUCUGGUCUGUAACUGACGCUGAGGAGCGAAAGCGUGGGGAGCGAACAG